UACGGAGGGUGCAAGCGUUAUCCGGAUUCACUGGGUUUAAAGGGUGCGUAGGCGGGCAGGUAAGUCAGUGGUGAAAUCUCCGAGCUUAACUCGGAAACUGCCGUUGAUACUAUUUGUCUUGAAUACUGUGGAGGUAAGCGGAAUAUGUCAUGUAGCGGUGAAAUGCUUAGAUAUGACACAGAACACCGAUUGCGAAGGCAGCUCACUAAACUAUUAUUGACGCUGAGGGACGAAAGUGUGGGGAGCGAACAGG
rnacentral:rRNA from 1 species